rnacentral:rRNA from 1 species
UGUAGUUGUGACGGCGUGCCUUUUGAAGAAUGAGCCUGCGAGUUAGUGUUACGUCGCGAGGUUAACCCGUGUGGGGAAGCCGUAGCGAAAGCGAGUCUGAAUAGGGCGUUGCAGUGGCGUGAUCUAGACCCGAAGCGAAGUGAUCUACCCAUGGCCAGGUUGAAGCGACGGUAAGACGUCGUGGAGGACCGAACCCACUUCAGUUGAAAAUGGAGGGGAUGAGCUGUGGGUAGGGGUGAAAGGCCAAUCAAACUUCGUGAUAGCUGGUUCUCCCCGAAAUGCAUUUAGGUGCAGCGUUGCGUGUUUCUUACCGGAGGUAGAGCUACUGGAUGGCUAAUGGGCCCUACAAGGUUACUGACGUCAGCCAAACUCCGAAUGCCGGUAAGUGAGAGCGCAGCAGUGAGACUGUGGGGGAUAAGCUUCAUAGUCGAGAGGGAAACAGCCCAGACCACCAACUAAGGCCCCUAAGCGUGUGCUAAGUGGGAAAGGAUGUGGAGUUGCGAAGACAACCAGGAGGUUGGCUUAGAAGCAGCCAUCCUUAAAAGAGUGCGUAAUAGCUCACUGGUCAAGUGAUUCCGCGCCGACAAUGUAGCGGGGCUCAAGUACACCGCCGAAGUUGUGGAUUUCAGACAAUAGCCAAGCCCUUGUGGUUCAGGCGUCUGGAGUGGUAGGGGAGCGUCGUGUGGGCAGUGAAGUCGCGGUGUAAACCAGCGGUGGAGCCUACACGAGUGAGAAUGCAGGCAUGAGUAGCGAAAGACGGGUGAGAAACCCGUCCGCCGAAUGAUCAAGGGUUCCAGGGUCAAGCUAAUCUGCCCUGGGUAAGUCGGGACCUAAGGCGAGGCCGACAGGCGUAGUCGAUGGACAACGGGUUGAUAUUCCCGUACCGGCGAAAAACCGCCCAUGCUGAACAGGGGAUACUAACCGCCCGAAACCUGCCCUAGCACCCUUCGGGGUGUGUGGGUUUUGGUGGAGCGCGGGACCUGAUCCUGGGAGGCAAGCGUAUUAACAGGUGUGACGCAGGAAGGUAGCCAAGCCGGGCGAUGGUUGUCCCGGUCUAAGGAUGUAGGGCGAACGGUAGGCAAAUCCGCCGUUCAUGAUGCCUGAGACCCGAUGGGACCCCCGUAUGGGGGGAUUUGGUGAUCCUAUGCUGCCGAGAAAAGCAUCGACGCGAGGUUUUAGCCGCCCGUACCCCAAACCGACACAGGUGAUCAGGUAGAGAAUACUAAGGCGAUCGAGAGAAUUAUGGUUAAGGAACUCGGCAAAAUGCCCCCGUAACUUCGGGAGAAGGGGGGCCCCAACCUUGAUGGACACACGCUGUCCGGAGGGGAUCGGGGCCGCAGAGACCAGGGGGAAGCGACUGUUUACUAAAAACACAGGUCCGUGCGAAGUCGCAAGACGAUGUAUACGGACUGACUCCUGCCCGGUGCUGGAAGGUUAAGAGGACCGGUUAGCCGCAAGGCGAAGCUGAGAAUUUAAGCCCCAGUAAACGGCGGUGGUAACUAUAACCAUCCUAAGGUAGCGAAAUUCCUUGUCGGGUAAGUUCCGACCUGCACGAAUGGAGUAACGACUUCCCCGCUGUCUCAACCAUAAACUCGGCGAAAUUGCAGUACGAGUAAAGAUGCUCGUUACGCGCAGCAGGACGGAAAGACCCCGAGACCUUUACUAUAGUUUGGUAUUGGUGUUCGGAGUGGCUUGUGUAGGAUAGGUGGGAGACGUUGAAGCCCGGACGCCAGUUCGGGUGGAGUCAUCGUUGAAAUACCACUCUGGUCACUUUGGACAUCUAACUUCGGCCCGUAAUCCGGGUCAGGGACAGUGCCUGAUGGGUAGUUUAACUGGGGCGGUUGCCUCCUAAAAAGUAACGGAGGCGCCCAAAGGUUCCCUCAGCCUGGUUGGCAAUCAGGUGUCGAGUGUAAGUGCACAAGGGAGCUUGACUGUGAGAGAGACAUCUCGAGCAGGGACGAAAGUCGGGACUAGUGAUCCGGCGGUACAUUGUGGAAUGGCCGUCGCUCAACGGAUAAAAGGUACCUCGGGGAUAACAGGCUGAUCUUGCCCAAGAGUCCAUAUCGACGGCAUGGUUUGGCACCUCGAUGUCGGCUCGUCGCAUCCUGGGGCUGGAGUAGGUCCCAAGGGUUGGGCUGUUCGCCCAUUAAAGCGGUACGCGAGCUGGGUUUAGAACGUCGUGAGACAGUUCGGUCCCUAUCCGCUGCGCGCGCAGGAAAUUUGAGAAGGGCUGUCCUUAGUACGAGAGGACCGGGACGGACGAACCUCUGGUGUGUCAGUUGUACUGCCAAGUGCACCGCUGAUUAGCUACGUUCGGAUGGGAUAACCGCUGAAAGCAUCUAAGCGGGAAGCUCGCUUCGAGAUGAGAUUUCCAUACACCUUGUGUGUGAGAGGCCCCCAGCCAGACCACUGGGUUGAUAGGCCGGAUGUGGAAGCGAGGACUAACGACUCGUGAAGCUGACCGGUACUAAUAGGCCGAUAACUUACACCACACACCCUC